rnacentral:rRNA from 1 species
GGUCCAGACUUUGAUCCUGGCUCAGGAUGAACGCUAGCUACGGGCUUAACACAUGCAAGUCGAGGGGAAACGACAUCGAAAGCUUGCUUUUGAUGGGCGUCGACCGGCGCACGGGUGAGUAACGCGUAUCCAACCUGCCCAUCACUUGGGAAUAACCUUGCGAAAGUAAGACUAAUACCCAAUGAUAUCCCACGAAGACAUCUGAAUGGGAUUAAAGAUUUAUCGGUGAUGGAUGGGGAUGCGUCUGAUUAGCUUGUUGGCGGGGUAACGGCCCACCAAGGCAACGAUCAGUAGGGGUUCUGAGAGGAAGGUCCCCCACAUUGGAACUGAGACACGGUCCAAACUCCUACGGGAGGCAGCAGUGAGGAAUAUUGGUCAAUGGGCGAGAGCCUGAACCAGCCAAGUAGCGUGCAGGAUGACGGCCCUAUGGGUUGUAAACUGCUUUUAUAAGGGAAUAAAGUGGGUCACGUGUGACUUUUUGCAUGUACCUUAUGAAUAAGGACCGGCUAAUUCCGUGCCAGCAGCCGCGGUAAUACGGAAGGUCCGGGCGUUAUCCGGAUUUAUUGGGUUUAAAGGGAGCGUAGGCCGGAGAUUAAGCGUGUUGUGAAAUGUAGAGGCUCAACCUCUGCACUGCAGCGCGAACUGGUCUUCUUGAGUACGCACAACGUGGGCGGAAUUCGUGGUGUAGCGGUGAAAUGCUUAGAUAUCACGAAGAACUCCGAUUGCGAAGGCAGCUCACGGGAGCGCAACUGACGCUGAAGCUCGAAAGUGCGGGUAUCGAACAGGAUUAGAUACCCUGGUAGUCCGCACGGUAAACGAUGGAUGCCCGCUGUUGGCCUGAAUAGGUCAGCGGCCAAGCGAAAGCAUUAAGCAUCCCACCUGGGGAGUACGCCGGCAACGGUGCAACUCAAAGGAAUUGACGGAAGGGG